rnacentral:rRNA from 1 species
UAAUACGUAGGUGGCAAGCGUUGUCCGGAAUUAUUGGGCGUAAAGCGCGCGCAGGCGGUUUCUUAAGUCUGAUGUGAAAUCUUGCGGCUCAACCGCAAGCGGCCAUUGGAAACUGGGAGACUUGAGUGCAGAAGAGGAGAGUGGAAUUCCACGUGUAGCGGUGAAAUGCGUAGAGAUGUGGAGGAACACCAGUGGCGAAGGCGACUCUCUGGUCUGUAACUGACGCUGAGGCGCGAAAGCGUGGGGAGCGAACAGGAUUAGAUACCCUGGUAGUCCACGCCGUAAACGAUGAGUGCUAAGUGUUAGAGGGUUUCCGCCCUUUAGUGCUGCAGCUAACGCAUUAAGCACUCCGCCUGGGGAGUACGGCCGCAAGGCUG